AUUGAACGCUGGCGGCAUGCUUUACACAUGCAAGUCGAACGGUAACAGGCCUUCGGGUGCUGACGAGUGGCGAACGGGUGAGUAAUGCAUCGGAACGUACCCAGAGGUGGGGGAUAACGCAGCGAAAGCUGUGCUAAUACCGCAUGUGAUCUGAGGAUGAAAGCGGGGGACCGAGCAGCAAUGUUUGGCCUCGCGCCUUUGGGGCGGCCGAUGUCGGAUUAGCUAGUUGGUGGGGUAAAGGCCUACCAAGGCGACGAUCCGUAGCUGGUCUGAGAGGACGACCAGCCACACUGGGACUGAGGCACGGCCCAGACUCCUACGGGAGGCAGCAGUGGGGAAUUUUGGACAAUGGGCGCAAGCCUGAUCCAGCAAUGCCGCGUGCGGGAAGAAGGCCUUCGGGUUGUAAACCGCUUUUGGCAGGAACGAAACGGUGUCCGCUAAUACCGGGCGCUAAUGACGGUACCUGCAGAAUAAGCACCGGCUAACUACGUG
rnacentral:rRNA from 1 species